UUUUUUCAUUUUUUUAUUUUUAUUUUAUUUAUUUUUAUUUAUUUUUGUUUGUUUAUUUAAUUUUAAACCAAGGGUAUUAGGGAUAUUUUACCCUUUAAUGAAUGUCAUUUUUGUGACUUUCUCCUUCUAGUGCUAUUUUUGUGACAUAAACUUCAAAAUGUGCUAUUAUUGACAAUUGCCCGAUUAUAAAUAACAUAUGUAUUUAUGGACCACUUUUUUUGGGAGAAUCUUCCGCAAAGUUUUCGGUAUAUAGUUAUCGAUUUCAUGGACAUUUUAAAAUUGGCAUAAACGAAAUCUUUACUUUUAAACUGAGCCACAUGUAUCAAUUAUACAGAGGGUGGCCUAAAAUACAAAGAUAGAGAUCACGACUUUACCAUCUAUGCAGAUGGUAUUGUACGGAUGGGUCAUGGACAAUUUCUCAGGAUAAAAUUGAUAUAGUAUGUUAGAAGGUUUUGAUAGAUUGAUAGGGACAAGAAACACUAGGGCUAGUCUGUCAUCUCUUCACUCAUAAGUAGAAACGCUUAUCUGGACAAUAGAAUAUAUGAAGAAUUUACAUCAGUUUCAUGUCAUAUUUGCAACAUAUUAUUUUCAAUUGGCGAAGAUGAUUUAGGAACCAGAAGAAUGAUGAGCUUUUGCAAGUUAUUUGGAAGAUAUCAAGAUUCCUUGAAAUGAAGUUUUCAUAACUCAGAGAUCAUUCAUGUAUUACGAACAUCAAAUUCAAAUCUUACACGUAGUGUCAAGAAACAACCGUCAUUUAUUUUCACAUGGAUCGGAGUUACCCAUAUAGUUUACAGAGUCUUCAUGAGUAUGUAAAUAUUGGUGACAAAAAAAUAACAUAUACAUUAACAUUAUUAGUUUGUAAUUAAGAAGUAAAUUGAGUAUUCACAAAAUCAUAGCUUAUAAAUUUUGUCCAGUCAGGCUCUUAAGCUUUCCGAUUUUAACUAUACACUAGAGGGUUUGUCCGGGGUACGCCCGGAUUUUUUCUAUAAUAUUAUUAAAUUGAAUUAAACUUGCGUAUUUUUAUUGUAAGAUAUUAAUUUCUAAUGAAAUUUUAUUGUAACUCUUUUUAUAUGUAAAGAGUAGUGCAUCUCAUUUUAAAAGAAUGGUUAUGGUUGAUGUUAGUGAAUUCAACUGUUGUUAUAUUAUUUUGGUAAAUGAUGCUAUGUGCGGUUUGUAUAUGGGGAAUUGCCAAAAAUAGCACUUUUGAGAUACCACUUUUCAUUUCUACCUUAAUCAAUUUUACCAUUAAAAUUUUAAUUGGCAAAGUACCUUUGUACCCCUAACUAAUUAAACCUAAGACUAACUCUUCUCUCCUACAUCUCACGAUAAUUAAAUCUCAUCAUCUCAGAUUCAAAUCGGCGACGGAUUCCGGCGGUGACGAGUUCUCCGGCGAGAUUGGACGACUCUGCAGAGUUGUCCGGCGAGAUCCGACGAAGCUACGGCAAGAUUCGACGAAGCUACGAAGAGAUCUGACGAAGCUACUGCGAGAUCGUACGAAGCUGCGGCGAGAUCCGACGAAGCUACCGCGAUCUCUUUCAGGACGCUAAGAAACUCUAACAAAGGUUAUGAUUAUUGAACCAAUGACGCUCCAGUAACCAUAUCCAAUUGCUCCGACCAAAUCUCGCUCCGGUGAACACCAACAAGCUCCGGUGAACACGAUCGACAAACUUAAAGAUAGUUUGUGUCAGUGGAUUUGAUUUCCGAGUUCAAUUGAGUAAAUAAGUUCAAUUAAAUCUAUGUAAAACCCCAAAUCUAAUUGACGUGUUUGAACUUUGAAGUGCACAUUUCUUAGUUAAAUUACAGUGAAUCUUGUUUUUGGAAGUGAGUGCUUAUGCGUAGGAAUAAUAUGUGAUUGGGUUGUGUCCAGAAUUUGAAGAUCGACGAGGUUGGUGAGCUGUUUGAAGAAGUAAGAGGGACUCAGAAUAAGAACGUGGUUUGUGAGAUCAAAGAAUUGCAGAUUUAUAAAGCUUUAUAAAAGUUGCAGAGUUGGCUUCUUAACACCAUCUUCUCUCUCAUCUUCUUCAGACAUCUCUUAUACUAAAACAAUCGUAUAUCUCUCCUAAGACUUGCAAAGUUGAAGAGGUUAGUUGGACAUCUAA